CCUCUGAUGAACUGUAAGUCUGCUGGGAGCUCAGCAGGGCAUUGCUGACUGGUUAAAAAAAAAAAAUGCCAGCCCUCCACCUGCAAGAGGAGAACAGUGACAAUGAUGCGUCUGUAUGCCUCAGGUAACAGCAACCACCACCUCGAGGAGUCUAAGCUGAGAGUGUGAAGUUGGGAUGGGAGAGGACUUGGAAUUAACUUUCAGGCAUGUCCAACUGGUAGGAGACCCUGGGGCAGACCCAGAACAUGCUGGAGGGGCUACAUAUCUCUUCUGGCCUGGGAACGCCUUGGGAUCCUCCUGUCUGGGUUUCCUUACUCAGUCUGAUGCCACUGCGACCUGGUCCCACAAAAGCAGUGGAAAAUGGAUGGAUGAGUGGAUGGAUGGACUUCCCGUGUAGCAUAGAAGAAGAGUGUCGGACAGGAAGUUCCUUCUCUUCGGCAGAGUGAAAGCAGAGUGGUCCUGUGUGAAGUGUGAAGAUAAUCUUAAGUCAUCCUUUUGUUUGCAGACCUUUGAGUGGCAUUAUCAGUAAAUGUAUUCUUAAUCUUCUCCAUCUUAAUGUUUUUGAUUAAUCAUUUUCUGUUAUUUGUUCUAGUUUGUUAAUAUAGUGUUACUGUGUGACUACUCACGCUGUUGGCUUGAAUUGUCCAUAGCAUACUUACCUCAGGCUACCUGUGUAUUUGUCUAAUCAUAUAUGCCUUUUGUCUUCACCUGCCUCCCUACCGGUAGUGUACUGUCAUGAUUUUACUUACCUUUAUUUUUACUGUACC